ACAUACACCCCAUCCCUUGCACACGAGUCCUGCUUGAGGGCCGUUGACAUCGGCCAUGUUUCAAAAUGCUGAUCCAGGCCCAAGUUGGCAUUGGCCCGUCCAUAUUUUCUGUGUAAGUAAAUACGCCUAACGUACAGAUGGACUCAUUAUACAAUGAAAUAAUCUCUCUUGUAGGUUUUCCUCCACCUAAAAUUUUCUCAAAACAUGAUCUUUAAUUUUGUAGAUCUAACAGUUACUUGCUGAGCAGGAGAGCUAAGAAAAUUGCAAUGGGUGGCAUAGAUUAUGUUGAUUUCUCCUAUCCUGCACCACCUGUUGGAAUUGAAGCUACACCCAGAAAAGACGACGACGAGUUUGAAUUAAGAAAAUCGACGGAAGAAGAGGUACUGGUAGCUUUGACAGACGAGAGUGUCACUAUUACCGGGAUAUGUGGUAUGGUAGGAGUAGGAAAGAUAACAUUUUUAUAGCAUAAAAUUCUGGCAGUAGCUUCGGGAGGAGAUUUUUAAUAGCAUAGAAUUCUUUGACUAGUAUUGGGACUGCCGAACCAGUUUCGAGAAAGAUUAAUUAUUAGAUGAAUUUACUAAAUUAAUGUUUCGGUCAAAGUCUAUUUAAUUGUUGGAAUGAGUAAACUCAAUAUUUUGCUAUGGUAGCUCCAUUGCAUCAUUUCCAAUAUUGCUGGAUGACAUAUCCAUUAUAUGUGAACUUGUCAAUAUGCAAAUUCUCGGCAUUAAAUAUUAUGCUUAAAUGUAUUGUCACGACAGAUAGAAAAAUUGAUCAUAUGAACAAACAACACUUGAAAUGAUUUCACCAUGGAUCUUAGUUUCAUUAAAGAAACUAUAUAUUGUGAAAGUAGAAUAUAUAAGUUACUCGACGUUCAGCCAGCUGGAAUGCUAAUCGUAAUUGACUGCACUACCACUAAUUGGAUGUUUUGGAGAUGUGAUUCACAAUAACUGGUCGUUUCCUCCAAACGAAGGUUGCCUUUGCUCUGUAUCUUUGCUAACAAAUACUUAUAGCAUGAAUAUAGAUCUCCAGGUUAUUGAGACCACCUCAUUGGGUUAUUGAAUCUGCCUCCUGAUGAGAAAGAGCAAGAGCGAACAUGUACUUUCAAGCGGAAAUGGCUCAAAGAAUGUGCUGACCAAGUUGCUACUGGAUGGAUUUCUGCAUGUUACCUUAUUGUAGGAUAUUGAGAUAUGGUCCCAUUUUUUCUAUUUGUAAUUGAAGAUGUAUGAAAUGCAUGGCCUCCAAACUUUUGAGCCUGGAAUGACUAGACCGUGUUGGGACUGAAAACAUAACCGCUCUAUGCUCUCACCAACUUCCGAAUGGCUAUUCAGUAAACUUGAAAUAUUGGAAGUAGUCGAGCGUGGCAAAUUGAGAAACUUGAUAUCUCCAUCAGCGGCAACAUGUAUUUUGAAUCUUCGAAUAUUGCAAACAGGAAACUGCCUGGAGGAAGAAGUGAUGACGGGAGAGGACUAGGAGAAAGAAAUGACCAACGAGUUCUUAUUUCCUCUGUUGGAAGUGUUGGAAGAGAGCUGGAGCAUAGCAAGCUACCAAAGCUGAGGCAUUUCUUGCGGACGGAGAACGCUCUAGAAUUUCCAUUUCUCUAAGAAAUGGACAUUAAAAGUUGUAUAGAAUGAACACGUUUGUCCUAAGAUCCGUGAGUAAACAAAGUCUAAGGAAUGGCUGAAGAUCCUUAAUUCUAAGUGAAGCAACUUUCUUCUACUUGCCCAAAUAUUUCUAGUUAGAAAUAUGAAGCAUCAAAAUUGUACUUUCUUAUUGCAAUCGCUGCUACCAGGAACAAGAAGCUAGUGAUGACUAUGAAUUUGACGCUAGUGAUAAUGGAAGCUAAGUGGUGUCUACGAAUCCAAAACUAGCGGGUAUUCCUCUCAUGGUAGCUUGUCUCAAUAUAUGAUGUUUUCAAGGUUUCGCUGGAUGGGACUCCACACUCCCUUUCUAUACUAUCACAUAUCUCACCUCGGGGCUAACAGAAACUUCAAGCCUGAGUUAUAGGAGCAACCAUCGGAAGAAGGAAAAGUCGAGCCAAACAGGAAGCGAACUCAAAGUGCGUCCGUCUAUCAUGACCCCCGAUAGCUUCAAGAGAACAACAACCAUCCAUUGCGAGAGAGAUCACAAUUCCGGAUAUGCUGUUUUAUGUCACUCGAUAACUUGAUUGGGACAUUCUUGUUUUAAUACGUGAAGAUGGUGAUGGAUCUUUCGCCAGAAUCUUUUCGAUUGUUCUCUGGUUAUGCUAGGUAUAUAUAUAAAAUUUGUUCCAAGUAGCCAUGUAGGUCUGCCUCUGUAAUAGUUUAUAAGGAGACUAUUGCAAGUAAACUUUCAUUUUCUCAAGUAAAUUUUGGUUCCCUUGCUAACAUACCUAUGCAUUUUAUGUAAAGACAUUUGCCAAAAUAGAAUUAUUUUCCUUAUGAGCUUCCCAGAACGAAAAUCGUGAAGAAGAAAAUGUGAUUGAUUGUUUAUGGUUGAUGUUGAUCAUUGGUCCA